CGAUCCUACAGUGGAACUGUUCUAGCAGGGAACAGAACACACACCUGCGUUUAAACCCUUGGUCAUAACUUCUGGAGCGAGUUCGAGCAGUUUCACACCUGCACAGAGGACCAGAGGGUGUGGGGAAACCCUGCUGUACUGCCUCUUAAAAGUCCUCUGUUCUCAGAGCACGGACGCACGUCUCGUAACCUGCGUCCUCGGACUCCCAGGAGCUGUUCGCAGUCUUGAGUGCUGAUCUGUGAUGCUAUUCCACAUCACAUUCAGCGCCCCGGUGGGUCGAGUCAAAGGCCUACGCUCACGGUUCCGGCUGGUCGUACGGUAUCUAGGGAGAUCCGUGCUGCAAGUGGGACCUUCAUUACUGAUGUGUAAUUCUGCUGUUAGAUGUGAUCAUUCCUGCUCCCGCCCCGAACACCAAGCCCUGUAGGUGAGAAACUCCGGCGUGUGAACAUGAACUCUGCCUGCGGUCGCCUGCUCAGAUCGGAAAAACACAGACUGCUCGGUCGGCGUCGCUGUCUGUGAAACCACAACACCGCGUUAGGAACCAAAAACCAACUCACAUAUGCGUCUGGCUUUGGACACGGGCCAGCUCACUUUACUGCUGCGCCUUACUCACACAAGCAGCCGCUUGAAAGCAAU